GACGAACGCUGGCGGCGUGCCUAAUACAUGCAAGUAGAACGCUGAAGGAGGAGCUUGCUUCUCUGGAUGAGUUGCGAACGGGUGAGUAACGCGUAGGUAACCUGCCUGGUAGCGGGGGAUAACUAUUGGAAACGAUAGCUAAUACCGCAUAAGAGUAGAUGUUGCAUGACAUUUGCUUAAAAGGUGCAAUUGCAUCACUACCAGAUGGACCUGCGUUGUAUUAGCUAGUUGGUGAGGUAACGGCUCACCAAGGCGACGAUACAUAGCCGACCUGAGAGGGUGAUCGGCCACACUGGGACUGAGACACGGCCCAGACUCCUACGGGAGGCAGCAGUAGGGAAUCUUCGGCAAUGGACGGAAGUCUGACCGAGCAACGCCGCGUGAGUGAAGAAGGUUUUCGGAUCGUAAAGCUCUGUUGUAAGAGAAGAACGAGUGUGAGAGUGGAAAGUUCG
rnacentral:rRNA from 1 species